rnacentral:rRNA from 1 species
GUCUAUGGCCCUACCACCCUGAACACGCCUGAUCUCAUCUCAUCUUGGAAGCUAAGCAGGGUUGGGACUGUUUAGGUUUUUUUUUUUUGACAGAGUUUCACUGUUGUUGCCCAGGCU